rnacentral:tRNA from 1 species
GGAGUUGUGGCUCAGUGGUAGCACAUCUGCUUGGUGUGAAGAAAGGUCCAGGUUCAAUCCUGGACAUCUCCA